AGAGUUUGAUCCUGGCUCAGGACGAACGCUGGCGGCGUGCCUAAUACAUGCAAGUCGAGCGGACCGGAUUGGGGCUUGCCUUGAUUCGGUCAGCGGCGGACGGGUGAGUAACACGUGGGCAACCUGCCCGCAAGACCGGGAUAACUCCGGGAAACCGGAGCUAAUACCGGAUAACACCGAAGACCGCAUGGUCUUCGGUUGAAAGGCGGCCUUUGGGCUGUCACUUGCGGAUGGGCCCGCGGCGCAUUAGCUAGUUGGUGAGGUAACGGCUCACCAAGGCGACGAUGCGUAGCCGGCCUGAGAGGGUGACCGGCCACACUGGGACUGAGACACGGCCCAGACUCCUACGGGAGGCAGCAGUAGGGAAUCUUCCGCAAUGGGCGAAAGCCUGACGGAGCGACGCCGCGUGAGCGAAGAAGGCCUUCGGGUCGUAAAGCUCUGUUGUGAGGGACGAAGGAGCGCCGUUCGAAGAGGGCGGCGCGGUGACGGUACCUCACGAGAAAGCCCCGGCUAACUACGUGCCAGCAGCCGCGGU
rnacentral:rRNA from 1 species